CCCUAACCGUGCAAAGGUAGCAUAAUCAUUUGCCUUUUAAUUGGAGGCUUGUAUGAAUGGUUUGACGAGGGCUAAGCUGUCUCUUUUAAAAUAUUUAGAAAUUAACUUUUAGGUGAAGAGGCCUAAAUUUGGCUGAGGGACAAGAAGACCCUGUUGAGCUUUAGUUUUAUGCUAAAUGGAUUAUUAUGAUAUUUGUAAUAAGCGUGGACCUAGGUGUAAUGGGAUUUUAGUAUGAAUCUUUAGUUGGGGCGACUGAGGAACAGCUAGAGCUUCCUUUGGUUUAGAAGGGCAAGUAGUGUGUCGGAAAAUGGUGUAUUCUUGCAGGUUGUUUUGAUCCAGUAGAAUACUGAUUAAAGGAAAAAGUUACCACAGGGAUAACAGCGUAAUCUUUCUGGAGAGAUCUUAUCGAAAGGAGGGUUUGCGACCUCGAUGUUGGACUAA
rnacentral:rRNA from 1 species